rnacentral:rRNA from 1 species
AACAGUCUNNAAAGUGUUUAUAAAGUCUGACCUGNCCCCUGAUUAUAANNGAUUAAAGGGCCGCGGUAUAUUGACCGUGCGAAGGUAGCAUAAUCAUUAGUCUUUUAAUUGAAGGCUGGAAUGAAUGGUUUCACAAGAAGUUUACUGUCUUUGUGUUAAUAUUUGAAUUUAACUUUUAAGUGAAAAGGCUUAAAUACUUUAAGGGGACGAUAAGACCCUAUAAAACUUUACAUAGAAAGGUAUUUUGGGGAAUUAUUNNNNNNUGUUUAAAUAAGGAGUUUAUGNUGUUUUGUUGGGGCGACAAGAAUAAAAUAAGAAUUGUAACUGUUUUAAAAAGUNAAGUCAAUAAUUUUUGAAAAAAAAAAAAUGGUCCUUAAAAAAGAGUAGAAGAGUAAGUUACUUUAGGGAUAACAGCGUUAUUUUUUUGGAGAGUUCUUAUCAAUAAAAAAGAUUGCGACCUCGAUGUUGAAUUAAAAUUUCUUUAUAGUGCAGAAGCUAUAGGAGAAAGUC